rnacentral:rRNA from 1 species
AUUGAACGCUGGCGGCAUGCCUUACACAUGCAAGUCGAACGGCAGCACGGGAGCAAUCCUGGUGGCGAGUGGCGAACGGGUGAGUAAUGUAUCGGAACGUACCUUUCAGUGGGGGAUAACGUAGCGAAAGUUACGCUAAUACCGCAUAUUCUGUGAGCAGGAAAGCAGGGGAUCGCAAGACCUUGCGCUGAUUGAGCGGCCGAUAUCAGAUUAGCUAGUUGGUGGGGUAAAGGCUCACCAAGCCGACGAUCUGUAGCUGGUCUGAGAGGACGACCAGCCACACUGGGACUGAGACACGGCCCAGACUCCUACGGGAGGCAGCAGUGGGGAAUAUUGGACAAUGGGGGCAACCCUGAUCCAGCGACGCCGCGUGUGUGAAGAAGGCCUGCGGGUUGUAAACCGCUUUAGUCCGGGAAAAAGGGGUGCGAGGAUAAUACCCUCGUGCUUUGAUGGUACUGGAAGAAUAAGCACCGGCUAACUACGUGCC